UGGGCAAACCUGUUGAAAGACAGGGACGCAAAGCCAAAGGGCCUGUACCGAAGUGGUGUGGCAGCCGGUUGC
rnacentral:ncRNA from 1 species